CUCAUCGAUAGAACGUGCUGCUGCUGCGCGCGCUGCAGGCUCCGGCUUUUCCCGGGGAGUCCCUGACUCAAACGCGCCGGCGGGCUCGGGGCCGGACAGGGGAAAAGGCAGCAGGGGCUGCCAGGAGGUCUGGGUCGCUGCAGAGGAAUGAUGCCCUGAGCUGGUGCCUUGAUGUGAGGAGAUGCCCAUAGGAUGCCUUUCACAACGCCUGUGGGCAUGAGAAGACUCUUGCAGUGGCCGAGUGUCUGGUGGGCGUUUAGAAGCCGUGAUGUGGGAGUGUCAGGUGGUGAGGAGACCGUGUCCCCGGCCUGCUGAGGCUUGAGAUUGACUAGGUCUGGUGAAGGUGGCCCGGGAAGGAAGGACACACGUGGCAUCUUGGAAACCAGAAGUGGCGUCUGACGAGAUGAGGCUCCUCACCAGCCCAUUGCGCCGGAUGCUGUUGGGCCUCCUGAAUCUCUGUGAAGGAGAGGGAGGGAGUCCUGCCAAAUGCUGUGUCCUAAACCCCCACCGCCUGCUUCGGAGGCAGAAUUUCAGUGCUAAAAUGACAGCCACUGAGAUGGUCAGCUACUGGCGAGGUGUGUUUGAGGCAAACGGGAUCCCUGAAGCACAGGAAUCCAGCGAAUAUAUCGUUUCCUACGUCCUGGGAGCAAAGACAUUUCACAGCUUGGAUGCUGGCAGCCUCUCCACCCCGCUCACAUUGGAGCAGCAGCAGCAGAUCCAGAAGCUGAGUACGAAGCGGUUACAAAGGAUGCCUGUGCAGUACAUCCUUGGUGAGUGGGAUUUCUGGGAACUGACCCUCAAGAUGAGACCCCCAGUCUUCAUUCCUCGGCCUGAGACAGAGGAUCUUGUCUCCUUGGUGUUGGAAGAAGAAAUCCAGAGGAGCGGGAGCCCUGCAGUUAAUGUGGGUCACCAGUGCCCCACUGUUGUUUCUCACCCGGUGAUCCUGGAAAUCGGCUGUGGCUCAGGGGCCAUUGCACUGAGUUUACUGAGCAAACUGCCCACGAGCCGGGUGAUAGCUGUGGAUAAAGAGGAAGCUGCUGUGAAUCUCACCAGAGAGAAUGCUCAGAGGUUGCAGCUACAGGACAGGAUAAGAAUUCUCCGCUACAAUGUCUCCUCCGGUUCCUGGGAGCAGCUCCUCCCCUGGGGUCCUGUGGACACUAUAGUCAGUAACCCACCUUAUGUCUUCCAUGGAGACAUGACUCACCUGGCUGAAGAGAUCCUCAGCUAUGAGGACCUUGGUGCCCUGGAUGGGGGAAAUGAUGGGAUGACAGUGAUCAAAAAAAUUCUGGCUCUGGCUCCUUGUAUCCUGAAGAAUCAUGGAUGAAGUGAAAGGUGCCGGAUGAACAGCUCUUGCAACUGCAGCCCUUUGUCUAUCCCCGCAAAAAUGAGUUCCCCAGCCCUGGGAGGUGACCAGAGGCCCAGCUGUUCUAGGAAAGCUCAAGCCGAGUCAGCAGCUGUGAAUUCCAGUUCUAGGAAUUGCAGUUGUGGGUCCUGGCGGAAACUUCCUGGAAUUCUCUCUGCUAUUCGAAGGAAAACAAAAUAACUAUUUCAGUGACCUUAAACUUCCAAAGACUUAGGAGCAAGAGUUUGGAGGCAGCAGAGAUAGAAGGGAUUAAUAUUUUUCUCCUGUAAUUCAGUUGGUUGUUUGGCUUUUGCACUUUAUUUAAUGUCAGGGCAACUGGCAUGAAAAAGCGAGCAAGAGAACUCUCUACACAGACAGAAGGAGAUAGCUGUAGUGACCACAGGAAUUUUUAAAAGGGAGGUACGGUAAAAAGGUCAGAGUUUUCAGGUAUCAGCCACAACCUCUUUGUGAAAGGUCAGUGUCAGUGUCAGACCUGGGAGACACCCAUAACCAACCUCACACAACCACAUGGCCAUGAAUAAAAGGACCCAGAAAGCUACCAACAGAAAAUGGUCCUGUUGUUUAAGCUGUAACUCAAGACAGCAGGUGCCACCUGGCACUAUGUUACUUCUGUUAAUUGUUCACCCAUUCUCAACCCAGUCAGGGGUUUGUCACUUGCUCUCUCCAAACCGGAAAUGAUGGGGAGAUUUCUCCAGUAAACCUGCAAAGCAGUUAAGGAAACAGACUCAGCAUGGCACGUACAAAGUAACCCUGUUUUGCUCACUGUCAGCAGCCAUAUGCACAUCUGCUCCUCAGUCUGGGGGAGGAGUGUUCUCACCAUCCUAAGUUAUUUUAAUAGGCCAUCUCCCUUCUGUGCAGCACCACUUAGGCACCAUGGGGUGACUUAAAAUCAGCAGCGGCAUUACGGGAAAAUUUUUUGACAAGUGGGCAUUCAGCUCAAAAGCACUGUCAUAGGUUACGUGCAGCCCUGUUACAAGUGUACACAUUAGUACCUAUUUUUCUUCUCUUACAAGUUUUAACUCCCAAGUGGUCGGGCAGCCCCUCUUAACAGAUUCUGAAAGAGAUACUCUAGCUCUGCCAUAAGUUAUUGAGCUUGAGGCAGGAAUCACGGUGUGAAAUUCUCUGGCCUAUGUUAUGCAAGAGGUCAAACUAGAUGCUCAGAAUAGUUCCUUCCAGCCUUAAUGUCGAAGGAUCUAUUCAUUUAACCUGGCUGUUUCCACUCAGCACUUGUUCCUUAGUUUAGAUUUGCCCCCAGUCACCCUCUGAGGAUCAGAUGACAGAUUUUGGAGACUUCACAUCCAAACCACGACCUUAACCCCCUUCUUGCAUUUCACUGUGUGUCUGUACAUAAUGGGAUGGGUUUGCUAUGAGAUGGCAACUGACGCUAGACAAAUUCAGGCUAGAAAUAAGGUAUACCUUUGUAACAGUGAAGAUAAUUAACCAUUGGAACAACUUAACCAGGAUUGUGGUGGAUUCUCCAUCACUGGCAAUUUUUAAAUUAAGAUUGGAUUUUUUAAAAAAAAGAUCUGAUCUAGUUUGAAAUUAUUUAUUCUGUGGAAGUCCUAUGGGCUUUGCUAUACAGAAGGUCAGACUGGAUGAUCAGAGUGGUCCCUUCUGGCUUUGGGAUUGCAUUUCACUGCAGCUGAAUGAGAACCAAGGCACCUUGUGGCAUCCUAGGCAGCAGUUCUACUAGGUGAACCAAAGGGCACCCUCCCAUUGGCCAAGUCAGCAGGAGCCAUGCUGAGCUACUGUCAGGAGAAGCAGAAGUAGGUGUGUUUAAAAUAAUUUGCCUUUGCUGCUUGUUUCUUUCUUUUCAAGAAAAGAACAGGAUGGAGAUUAGGGGAGCCAGACAAUUUCAUACUGAGUUUAAAAGCAAACCAAGCCCAGGAUUCUUUGUGUUUCAGUUCCUUUUGCUGGUGUAAGUAGCUACAGGUGUCACAUUUUACAAAUUUGCUCAGUAGUAUGCAAAGUUAUUAGCAGCUAAUGCUCAUGUUGGUGAAGAACCCAUCAAGGCUUCAGAUAUUAUUUACAUGCAAGAAAGUCUCCAAUAGUGAUAUUUUUAAAGGAAAACUUUUUGCCUUUAUGGCAAACUAAAAACAGACAGAAGCUAUGAAGUGGCAGUCAGUGUGAUGAAUUCAUAUAUUCCAAGGCUGGAAGGAAUCAGUGUGAUCAUCUAGUCUGACCUCCUGUAUAACACAGGCCAGAGAACUCCCCCAAAAUAAUUCCUAGAGCAGAUCUUUUAGGAAAUCAUUCAAUCUUGAUUUCCUAAAAGUUAUCAGUGAUGGAAAAUCCACCACAACUCUUGAUAAAUUGUUCCAGUGCUAAUUACCCUUGCUGUUAAAAAUUUACACCUUAUUUCCAGUCUGAAUUUGGCUAGCUUCAACUUCCAGGCAU